AGGGCAAGUCUGGUGCCAGCAGCCGCGGUAAUUCCAGCUCCAAUAGCGUAUAUUAAAGUUGUUGCAGUUAAAAAGCUCGUAGUUGAAUUUCGGGGUUAGUAGGUUGGUCAUGCCUCAGGUAUGUACUGAUCUCACUGAUUCCUCCUUCCUGAUGAACCGUAAUGCCAUUAAUUUGGUGUUGCGGGGAAACUGGACUGUUACUUUGAAAAAAUUAGAGUGUUUAAAGCAGGCUAACGCUUGAAUACAUUAGCAUGGAAUAAUGAAAUAGGACGUUCGAUCUUAUUUUGUUGGUUUCUAAGAUUGACGUAAUGAUUAAUAGGGAUAGUUGGGGGCAUUAGUAUUCAAUUGUCAGAGGUGAAAUUCUUGGAUUUAUUGAAGACUAACUACUGCGAAAGCAUUUGCCAAGGAUGUUUUCAUUAAUCAGGAACGAAAGUUAGGGGAUCGAAGACGAUCAGAUACCGUCGUAGUCUUAACCAUAAACUAUGCCGACUAGGGAUCGGACGAUGUUACUUAUUGACUCGUUCGGCGCCUUACGGGAA
rnacentral:rRNA from 1 species